AUUUUUGCAGGUAUUGUCGGAUGUGAUUAUUAAUAUAGUUUCAAAUUACAAUGUUCCCCAUUGCAAGAUUAAUCAUUGCUUCAAAAUACACUCAUCUACCGAGCAUGCGAACACAAACACAAAGAGCAAGAUACUCCAGAAACAUUUGACUCAUCUCUUGUUGGAUGUUGCACCACAAGAUUAUAUCACGAAACACAGCUUAUAAUUGGGGGUAUCAUGAGUUCAGAAAGCUUCAAGAAGAUAACAAAGUUUUAAGCUUCACUUUAUGUAUCUUUUAUGCCUCGGUGGAUAUCGGUUGUGUUGGUAAUACCAACUAAAUACCCAUUGACAGUACAUGUGAAUAAGGGUGAGCCGGGUAAUGGUUGAUAGGGUCGUAUUAGGUAAUACAUUCUUAACUUCAAGAAGACAAACUCUAUAAACAUUAAAAAGAAAAUGCGUCAUUUAAAUUCAAAGAAGUCUGGCACUGUUAUUGAAGGUCAAUUUUUGUUCAUUUACUCUGUUUUUUUACUUGAUUUGGGUUGGGUUUCAUCCAAACAGGUCCAAAUUAGAACAAAUUAGAUAAAACGCAGAUGGCUGGAAUGGGUUAGGUAUGGGUUAAAAGAGUUUAACAGGUCAAAUGGGUCAAAGUUGUCCAAAAUAUGUUACUAUGCCUACAAUUACCUCUCUACCUCUGUCAUUUUAUUGAUAGAACUUAUUAUUAUUGUAGUAACAUUCUUUUUGUAAAAGUGCUUGGACAAAUUGGAGUCAUUUAAAGAAGACAACGAUUCAAAGUUGUAACACUUAACUAUCCAUCUUACAGGUACAAAGCGUGUCUGAUAUUGGUUAUGGUUUGGUAUCUUUAGGGGCUUGGGACUCAUUUACCCAAACUGAAAUUAAAGAAAUUAAUGUCGUUCUAUUAGCUCUAAUAGAACGAUAUGUGGUUGAUAGUAUAUGAGAUUUCAGUACUAAAAUGCUUUUCCCACACCCGUGACGGUAGUAAUGUAAUACCAGCACCAUCCCUUUUUAUUGGUGCUUAAGAACAGUAAGUCAAUAAUGCUAUAAAGAUUGUGCUAUUAUUAUUAUUGGGUUUUUCUAUUUUUGGCCAGCAAGUGGAAAAGCAGAUUUGGUCAAGAUUGCCAUUUGAUAGAUACAUAACAUAUAACAUGAUUAAGCUUCGAAAGCUCCAACAAGUAUGUGUUCAAAAGCAAUUCGAGGAUAUUGAAUGGUGGCAUUGAAUCACCAUUUUCAACCAGUUGAUAAAGCCUAAAAUCUUAAAGCGCCAUUGUUUGGAAGCUCUAGAAGCAUCCGUUAUUAAGCAAGUAUCUACUGUUACGAAUUGAAGCAACUAUGUAUAUAUACGUCACGGCUGGAAGCAGCUUCGGGUAGUCAGUUGGCUAAUAAGUGACGUUCCAGCACCCUCCUAGAAAAACUCUAAGAGUAUCUCUCCGAUGUCUACUCCAUCAAAAUCAUCUGAACACAAGGAAAAGAAAAUGUAAGACGUAUAUAAAUACACAAGCUGAUUCAUGUGACCGAGUAUCUAGAAUGAACCUUUAAUGCCUAAUUUUUUUAUGCACAUUGACAAGGAUUCUGAAUCAGAUCCUGGGGGUUGAUGAGGCCACGAGGGCAUAAUAGUAAGCAUGCUCCCUGCUGAAACACGAUGAAACAGAGUGUAAGAACACUAACAUAUCUAUGGACUGAUGUGUGUCACUUUGAGUAUUAAACUGUGUUUCUUAUCUACAAUACCGGUACAUUGAAGAUUCCGAAGUCAAGACCGACCUUGAUUAACCACCCGACCUUUUUUGCCACCUCCAAUAUAGUACUUAGUAUGUAAGUUGAAGUUGUUCUGUGUUCAGAUUAAUGUUGGUCAAAUUAUGACUAUAAGAAUCGGUUUAAGUUUAUAUUUUUACCCUGAGGGGAACCCAUUUGGCCAGUUCUUCA